UAACACAUGCAAGUCGAACGGUAACAUUUCUAGCUUGCUAGAAGAUGACGAGUGGCGGACGGGUGAGUAAUGCUUGGGAACUUGCCUUUGCGAGGGGGAUAACAGUUGGAAACGACUGCUAAUACCGCAUAAUGUCUUCGGACCAAACGGGGCUUCGGCUCCGGCGCAGAGAGAGGCCCAAGUGAGAUUAGCUAGUUGGUGAGGUAAAGGCUUACCAAGGCAACGAUCUCUAGCUGUUCUGAGAGGAAGAUCAGCCACACUGGGACUGAGACAAGGCUCAGACUCCUACGGGAGGCAGCAGUGGGGAAUAUUGCACAAUGGGGGAAACCCUGAUGCAGCCAUGCCGCGUGUGUGAAGAAGGCCUUCGGGUUGUAAAGCACUUUCAGUUGUGAGGAAAAGUUAGUAGUUAAUACCUGCUAGCCGUGACGUUAACAACAGAAGAAGC
rnacentral:rRNA from 1 species